UAGUCCACGCCGUAAACGAUGUCUACUAGCUGUCUGUGCGAUUAAGUGUGGGUAGCGAAGCUAACGCGAUAAGUAGACCGCCUGGGGAGUACGGCCGCAAGGUUAAAACUCAAAUGAAUUGACGGGGGCCCGCACAAGCGGUGGAGCAUGUGGUUUAAUUCGAUGCAACGCGAAGAACCUUACCAGGACUUGACAUCCAGAGAACUUACUAGAGAUAGUUUGGUGCCUUCGGGAACUCUGAGACAGGUGCUGCAUGGCUGUCGUCAGCUCGUGUUGUGAGAUGUUGGGUUAAGUCCCGCAACGAGCGCAACCCUUGUCCUUAGUUGCCAGCAUUAAGUUGGGCACUCUAAGGAGACUGCCGGUGACAAACCGGAGGAAGGUGGGGACGACGUCAAGUCAUCAUGGCCCUUACGUCCUGGGCUACACACGUGCUACAAUGGGCAGUACAAAGAGAAGCGAAGUCGCGAGGCGGAGCGGAUCUCAUAAAGCUGUUCGUAGUCCGGAUU
rnacentral:rRNA from 1 species